rnacentral:lncRNA from 1 species
UCCACUUGUCUGGUUAGAGUUAUGCCAAGAUAUUUUAUAUUAUUUGAGAUGAUUGUGAAAGGUGUUGUUUCCCUGAUUUCUUUCUCAGUCCAUCUGUCACUUGUAUAUAGGAAGGCAGGGUCCCAGGGAUUGCUGGCUCAAGUUGGAGGUUGAGCUAACAGGAGUAGUGUGUGUGUGUGUGUGUGUGUGUGUGUGUGUGUGUGUGUGUGUGUGUGUGUGUGUGUGUGUAGGUAGGUAGGAGGAGAAGAACUGCAUGAUGGGAAUGAAGAAGCCAGAGAGGCUGAAUCAGGAGGUGAAAUACAGAACGGGGGAUGAAACUGGGAAUUUCUCAUUCAAGCAGUCCAGGAGGCAAAGGAGAAUCAGGCUGAAAGUUGGGAAAAAAGCCAGGUGGAUUGAGAAAUAUGGUGACAGAGUUUCCACAGUUAACUGUUCAAGCAAGAGUAACACAUUACAGGAGCAAUGAGACCAGUGGCGGCCUUCACAGAGACUUUUUAGCAGAUGGUACCAGGGAAGGAUUUGUUUCUUUGGCUGUAGAGAAGACUUGGAACUUCUUGAAUUGGGAAGAUAAAAGUAAGCUACUCCCCACCCCCUAUUACAGCCAGAGUGCUCCAAUGAAGACAAGGUCUUAUGCAAUCUCGAUAGAAACAGGACUAGAGUAACCCCAUAGACCUUUAGGGGAUGGAUGCUCAGAAGAUCUUAAGGCUUUGGCUGUCUGCUCUUAUGGCUGUAUGAGGG